rnacentral:sRNA from 1 species
ACUUCCCAAGCCGGAACGAAAAAGCAGGAAUGAAUCGUUUCAGGAAUGCUUUUGGCUUUGUGGUUGUGAUGUUGUGUUUGCAAGUUGUCUGACGCGUUAUCAGACAUGGCGGUGGCGUAAGCCCUGCCGUUUUUCACUUCCUGUACA